ACAAUGAAAAAAACUGCCGAAUCAUUUUAAAAAACUUUAAGAAGAGUGAGCCAGUAAGAAGAAAGAUUGGAGAAAAUGUGACUCUCAAUUGCACCAGACAAAGUAGCCUAGAUAAGGAUGAUAUUGUGGAGUGGUCUACACCCAGUGAAGAAGAUUUCCUUUUUCUAAGGGAGAGGGGGAAAAAUACGAACAUUUGUAAGGACGGAUUCUGUCUUGCUGCACCUCCUGGAAAAGACGUGUUUUUCAGCAUCUCAAAUGUCAGUAAAACAGAUGAAGGAAGUCACUGUUGCUGUAUUAAAAACCCACGAAGUGAGGUUGAAUGCAUCAACCUCACUUUGACUGUUUUAGAAGAUGAAUCCUCAACAACCCAAGAUCCAAAAGGCCGUGAGGGGAAUUCAACACCUGACUCUACAGCACCCCCGAUUGGUAACUGCUGUAAUCUUUUAAAGAG